UACGUAGGGCGCAAGCGUUAUCCGGAAUUAUUGGGGCGUAAAGAGCUCGUAGGCGGUUUGUCGCGUCUGCCGUGAAAGUCCGGGGCUCAACUCCGGAUCUGCGGUGGGUACGGGCAGACUAGAGUGAUGUAGGGGAGACUGGAAUUCCUGGUGUAGCGGUGAAAUGCGCAGAUAUCAGGAGGAACACCGAUGGCGAAGGCAGGUCUCUGGGCAUUAACUGACGCUGAGGAGCGAAAGCAUGGGGAGCGAACAGG
rnacentral:rRNA from 1 species